rnacentral:rRNA from 14 species
UAAGUCAUCAGCUUGUGCUGAUUACGUCCCUGCCCUUUGUACACACC